CACGUAGGGGGCAAGCGUUGUCCGGAUUCAUUGGGCGUAAAGAGCUCGUAGGCGGCUCAGUAAGUCGGGUGUGAAACCCUCAGGCUCAACCUGGGGACGCCACUCGAUACUGCUGUGGCUAGAGUCCAGUAGGGGAGUGUGGAAUUCCCGGUGUAGCGGUGAAAUGCGCAGAUAUCGGGAGGAACACCAGCGGCGAAGGCGGCACUCUGGGCUGGUACUGACGCUGAGGAGCGGAAAGCGUGGGUAGCAAACGAGGA
rnacentral:rRNA from 1 species